UCUGGCAGUGAUGACACAUUUGCCCUCACUGAGAAUAUUUUUCAGUUAUGAAAACUUCAUUUGUACUCAAACGUAUCUGAGCCAGA